rnacentral:lncRNA from 1 species
GUCCCACUCUGUAACCAGGGUUGCCACUGAGAGGAACAGGCUUGGUGCCAUGCUGAAAGACAAGGUGAUGACCUGGGCAACAUUAUUUAGGAGACUCACGGUGCUGAUGAGCGUCCCCAGCACGAGGGAGAGGCCGGCUUCCUGGAUCUGGCCGCUGGCUGUGUAUAGCAGACUGUACUUUACCUGGGGAAGAAUGGGGCUCAGCAGCCAUGUUACCAACUCCAACAAAGCAGCCACAGAAAGACCACAGCCCCCAAGUCUGCUGUCCAAUCAUGUCACUCGUAUCCCCUUAGCAUCCUAGUGGACAGUCACCUCAGCCUCUCUGUACCCAGGGUUUUGACAUUUCAGAUCAGCUGACUCAAGCACAAUGUGAACAGCCUAUUUCUGCAGAAGAAAUGAGUCCCAUCAAA